rnacentral:rRNA from 1 species
UACCGCAUACGAUCUAAGGAUGAAAGAGGGGGAUUCUCAGAACCUCAUGCUCCUGGAGCGUCUGAUAUUUGAUGGCUAGUUGGCGCGGCACAAGUCUACCAAGGGAUCGAUGAUUAGCUGGACUGACAGGACGACCAGCCACACUGCCACUGACACACCGCUACCACUCCUACCGGAGGCAAGUGUGGGGAAUUGACUCCAAUGGCCCAACCAUGGUCCGGGAAUGCCACGUGACCGAAGAAUUGCAUCCGGUUUUAAACCUCUUUUGUCAGGGACCAAACGGUGAGAGCUGAAUUUCACGCUAAUGACGGUACCUGAAGAAUUUGCACCGGCUAACUACUUGCCGGCAGCCGCGGUAAUACGUAUGGUGUAAGCGUUAAUCGGAAUAACUGGGCGUAAAGAGUGCGCAGGCGGUUUUGUAAAACUGUCGGGAAAUCCCCAGUUCUCAACCUGUGAAUGGUUGAUGGUGACUG